rnacentral:rRNA from 1 species
UGAGUAACACGUGAGUGACCUGCCUUUUAGACUGGAACAACUUAACCGAAAGGUGAGCUAAUGCCGGAUGAGUUAUAUAAGUGCAUGUUUAUAUAGGAAAAGUUGGGGAGACCUGACGCUGAAAGAUGGACUCGCGUCCCAUUAGCUAGUUGGUAGGGUAAUGGCCUACCAAGGCGACGAUGGGUAGCCGGCCUGAGAGGGUGGCCGGCCACACUGGGACUGAGACACGGCCCAGACUCCUACGGAAGGCAGCAG